rfam:Myotis lucifugus cont2.39793, whole genome shotgun sequence.
GCUGUUUUGGCUCAGUGGAUAGAGCAUUGGCCUUCGGACUCAAGGGUCCCAGGUUCGAUUCCGGUCAAGGGCA